CCUACGGGUGGCAGCAGUGGGGAAUGUUGCGCAAUGCUCGUAAGAGUGACGCAGCGACGCCGCGUGAAUGACGAAGGCCUUCGGGUCGUAAAGUUCUUUCGACAGGGAAGAAAAUGCCUAUAAGUAACUGUGUAUGUAUUGACGGUACCGGUAGAAGCAGCACCGGCUAACUCCGUGCCAGCAGCCGCGGUAAUACGGAGGGGGCGAGCGUUGUGCGGAGUGACUGGGCGUAACGAGCACGUAGGCGGUGUUGUAAGUCAUUAGUCAAAGACUAGCGCUCAACUUUAGUACGGCUAGUGAUACUCUCAUCCUAGAGUAUCAGAGAGGAUUGCCGACUUCCUGGUGUAGCGGUUA
rnacentral:rRNA from 1 species